rnacentral:sRNA from 1 species
AUUUCUAGAAAAGCCGUCUAUAGCCUGUCACUAAGUUGAUAGUGAGAUAAACAUAGAGAAAAUAAAGAGAUAAAUACAACGAGAACAUAGAGAUUAGAGCAUCUCAUCAAUGAGCUUGUUCUUCAAAGUUUCUUCCUUUUCAGAAGUUUCACCUGUUCUUCUUCCAAGAAGACUUUUAAGGACUUCCAUCCUUGUUAGUUUCUUUUGCUCUUCUAUGUCUUUCUCCUUCAGUGCCCACAAGUUCUCAAGUCUU